AUACGUAGGGGGCGAGCGUUAUCCGGAAUUACUGGGUGUAAAGGGUGUGCAGGCGGCAUUGCAAGUUUGAUGUGAAACCCCGGGGCUUAACUCCGGGCAUGCAUCGAAAACUACAGAGCUAGAGUACAGGAGAGGAAAGCGGAAUUCCUAGUGUAACGGUGAAAUGUGUAGAUAUUAGGAGGAACACCAGUGGCGAAGGCGGCUUACUGGACUGUAACUGACACUGAGGCACGAAAGCGUGGGGAGCAAACAGGAUUAGAUACCCUGGUAGUCCACGCUGUAAACGAUGAAUACUAGGUGUAGGGGGUAUCAACUCCCUCUGUGCCGCAGCAAACGCAAUAAGUAUUCCGCCUGGGGAGUACGGCCGCAAGGUUGAAACUUAAAGGAAUUGACGGGG
rnacentral:rRNA from 1 species